UAAGUAAAUUGUUAUAAGUGC
rnacentral:piRNA from 1 species